AGCGAACGCUGGCGGCAGGCUUAACACAUGCAAGUCGAGCGGGCCCUUCGGGGUCAGCGGCGGACGGGUGAGUAACGCGUGGGAACGUGCCUUCUGGUCUGGAAUAACCCUGGGAAACUAGGGCUAAUACCGGAUACGCCCUUAUGGGGAAAGGUUUACUGCCGGAAGAUCGGCCCGCGUCUGAUUAGCUAGUUGGUGGGGUAACGGCCUACCAAGGCGACGAUCAGUAGCUGGUCUGAGAGGAUGAUCAGCCACACUGGGACUGAGACACGGCCCAGACUCCUACGGGAGGCAGCAGUGGGGAAUAUUGGACAAUGGGCGCAAGCCUGAUCCAGCCAUGCCGCGUGAGUGAUGAAGGCCUUAGGGUUGUAAAGCUCUUUUAUCCGGGACGAUAAUGACGGUACCGGAGGAAUAAGCCCCGGCUAACUUCGUG
rnacentral:rRNA from 1 species